GCAGGAAAUUUGAGAGGAGCUGUCCUUAGUACGAGAGGACCGGGAUGGACGCACCGCUGGUGUACCAGUUGUUCUGCCAAGGGCAUCGCUGGGUAGCUAUGUGCGGACGGGAUAAGUGCUGAAAGCAUCUAAGCAUGAAGCCCCCCUCAAGAUGAGAUUUCCCAUUCCGCAAGGAAGUAAGAUCCCUGAAAGAUGAUCAGGUUGAUAGGUCUGAGGUGGAAGUGUGGCGACACAUGGAGCUGACAGAUACUAAUCGAUCGAGGACUUAACCACAUUU
rnacentral:rRNA from 1 species